rnacentral:rRNA from 1 species
GAUGAACGCUGGCGGCGUGCCUAAUACAUGCAAGUCGAGCGAACAGACGAGGAGCUUGCUCCUCUGACGUUAGCGGCGGACGGGUGAGUAACACGUGGAUAACCUACCUAUAAGACUGGGAUAACUUCGGGAAACCGGAGCUAAUACCGGAUAAUAUAUUGAACCGCAUGGUUCAAUAGUGAAAGACGGUUUUGCUGUCACUUAUAGAUGGUUCCGCGCCGCAUUAGCUAGUUGGUAAGGUAACGGCUUACCAAGGCAACGAUGCGUAGCCGACCUGAGAGGGUGAUCGGCCACACUGGAACUGAGACACGGUCCAGACUCCUACGGGAGGCAGCAGUAGGGAAUCUUCCGCAAUGGGCGAAAGCCUGACGGAGCAACGCCGCGUGAGUGAUGAAGGUCUUCGGAUCGUAAAACUCUGUUAGUGGGGAAGAACAAAUGUGUAAGUAACUAUGCACGUCUUGACGGUACCUGAUCAGAAAGCCACGGCUAACUACGUG